GAAACAGAGGAUGUUACAUUGGAC
rnacentral:siRNA from 1 species